GACGAACGCUGGCGGCGUGCUUAACACAUGCAAGUCGAACGCUGAAGGCCUGGCUUUUGUUGGGUUGGAUGAGUGGCGAACGGGUGAGUAACACGUGAGUAACCUGCCCUCUUCUUUGGGAUAACGCCCGGAAACGGGUGCUAAUACUGGAUAUUCACUGAUCUUCGCAUGGGGGUUGGUGGAAAGGUUUGUUCUGGUGGGGGAUGGGCUCGCGGCCUAUCAGCUUGUUGGUGGGGUGAUGGCCUACCAAGGCUUUGACGGGUAGCCGGCCUGAGAGGGUGACCGGUCACAUUGGGACUGAGAUACGGCCCAGACUCCUACGGGAGGCAGCAGUGGGGAAUAUUGCACAAUGGGAGAAAGCCUGAUGCAGCGACGCCGCGUGAGGGAUGGAGGCCUUCGGGUUGUAAACCUCUUUCGCUCAUGGUCAAGCCGCAACUGUGGGUUGUGGUGAGGGUAGUGGGUAAAGAAGCGCCGGCUAACUACGUG
rnacentral:rRNA from 1 species